rnacentral:lncRNA from 1 species
AUGUGGAUGUCGGAAUAUCUAUUGUUUGUGAUAUGUGGAUACGGUUCUGCACAUGGACGGUGUUUUGAAUACUUAAUGGCCGGGUAUAUAGUUUUUGCGCUUGAGAAACUAUGUUCAAGGAAAACUUUGAUGAUAAUUGAUUGCAUGACAUUGAAAUUGUGUACGACAUGGCUCACUUGGACAUGGAGCUUGCAGGUUUGCGAUAUAUCUUCUAUUAAGACAAGAACACAAUUCAAAGGGCAUUUCUUGCGAUAUAUUUGUGCUGACAAAGGUUUACUUUGUUUUCCUCUCGUGGAUGACGACUUAUUUCAAAAGCGUAACUACAUGACACUCUUAAUCAAUGCAGAACACUGUUUCUCCGCAAAACAAUCACUAGUCUCUUAUUAA